rnacentral:rRNA from 1 species
CCAGACUCCUACGGGAGGCAGCAGUGAGGAAUAUUGGUCAAUGGCCGCAGGGCUGAACCAACCAAGUCGCGUGAGGGAUGACGGUCCUAUGGAUUGUAAACCUCCUUUGUCAGGGAACAAAGGCGGGGACGUGUCCCCGGAUGAGUGUACCUGAAGAAAAAGCAUCGGCUAACUCCGUGCCAGCAGCCGCGGUAAUACGGAGGAUGCGAGCGUUAUCCGGAUUUAUUGGGUUUAAAGGGUGCGCAGGCGGAAUGUCAAGUCAGCGGUAAAAUUUCGGGGCUCAACCCCGUCGUGCCGUUGAAACUGGCGUUCUUGAGUGAGCGAGAAGUAUGCGGAAUGCGUGGUGUAGCGGUGAAAUGCAUAGAUAUCACGCAGAACUCCGAUUGCGAAGGCAGCAUACCGGCGCUCAACUGACGCUCAUGCACGAAAGCGUGGGUAUCGAACAGGAUUAGAUACCCCAGUA